UCGAGAAUUUUUCACAAUGCUGGCAACAGCGAUAAGGGAACCUCGAGUGCCAGGUUACAAAUCUGGCUGUCGAGAUGCCUAAAAAGCAUUUCAUAGCAAGGGCCGGGCAAGACCGGUGCCAGCCGCCGCGGUAACACCGGCGGCUCGAGUGGUAACCGUUAUUAUUGGGUCUAAAGGGUCUGUAGCCGGCCGGAUAAGUCUCUUGAGAAAUCUGGCAGCUUAACUGUCAGGCUUUCAGGAGAUACUGUCUGGCUCGAGGCCGGGAGAGGUGAGAGGUACUUCAGGGGUAGGGGUGAAAUCUUGUAAUCCUUGAAGGACCACCAGUGGCGAAGGCGUCUCACCAGAACGGACCUGACGGCAAGGGACGAAAGCUAGGGGCACGAAUC
rnacentral:rRNA from 1 species